AACGAACGCUGGCGGCAUGCCUAGCACAUGCAAGUCGAACGAGACCUUCGGGUCUAGUGGCGCACGGGUGCGUAACGCGUGGGAACCUGCCCUUAGGCUCGGAAUAACUCCCCGAAAGGGGUGCUAAUACCGGAUAAUGUCUUCGGACCAAAGAUUUAUCGCCUUUGGAUGGGCCCGCGUUGGAUUAGCUAGUUGGUAGGGUAAAAGCCUACCAAGGCGACGAUCCAUAGCUGGUCUGAGAGGAUGAUCAGCCACACUGGGACUGAGACACGGCCCAGACUCCUACGGGAAGCAGCAGUGGGGAAUAUUGGACAAUGGGCGAAAGCCUGAUCCAGCAAUGCCGCGUGAGUGAUGAAGGCCUUAGGGUUGUAAAGCUCUUUUACCCGGGAUGAUAAUGACAGUACCGGGAGAAUAAGCUCCGGCUAACUCCGUG
rnacentral:rRNA from 1 species